rnacentral:rRNA from 1 species
CCUACGGGUGGCAGCAGUCGAGAAUCAUUCACAAUGGGGGAAACCCUGAUGGGGCGACGCCGCGUGGGGGAAUGAAGGUCUGCGGAGUGUAAACCCCUGUCAUGGGGGAGCAAAUUAAAAAGAUAGUACCACAAGAGGAAGAGACGGCUAACGGCGUGCCAGCAGCCGCGGUAAGACAGAGGGCUCAAGCGGUGGUCGGAAGCACUGGGCGGAAAGCGUGGGGAGGCUUUUUCGUAAGUCGUGUGUGCAAGGCGCGGGCUCACCCCGCGGACCGCCCCGGAUACUGCGAGCCUAGAGGAUUGGAGUGGGAACCGGAAUUCUCGGUGUAGCCGUGAACUGCGUAGAUAUCGCGCGGCACCCUCGUGGCGAAGGCGGCUUCCUGGACCUUACCUGACGCUGAGGCACGAAAGCCCGGGGAGCAAACAGGAUUAGAUACCCGUGUAGUC